GCAGUGAGCCGCUGUGUUCAGUGCAGGCUGUGAAUGGAGGCGCAGCACUGCAGUUCCUCUGUCUGUGGCCAGGCGGUGCUCCAGAAGCACAGGUGUCGUUUCCCGGCCUGAGCAUGAAUGCCAGUGGAUACAGCAAUUACAGUAUGACUAUAAACGACACUCAGAGCUUAAACGGAAGAGAAAUCAUCUGUAAAGCCGAACAUCCUCUGGUUCAGACACAAUGCAGUGUCAUUCCUCGCAGUCCUGUGGAUUUCCUCCCAGUAAUUUUCACCAGCAUGAGUCAAGAUGAACAGACAUUGGUUGUGAUUCAUUGCUCUGCUGAAGCAACACCUCAAGCUCUUGUGCACUGGAUCAAGGAUGGAAACCGCUUGCAAACUGGGCCCAAAUACCAGAUCAGUACAAACACAACUCAACUGUUUAUUUAUGAUUUUAAUGUCACUACAGACCUCGACACCUACACCUGCACUGCCAUCAACCCUCUCGGCAAUAAAACUGUGGACACUGCACUACUUGGCCCUCAAAU
rnacentral:lncRNA from 1 species